rnacentral:rRNA from 1 species
UACGAAGGGGGCUAGCGUUGCUCGGAAUCACUGGGCGUAAAGCGCACGUAGGCGGCUUUCUAAGUCAGGGGUGAAAUCCUGGAGCUCAACUCCAGAACUGCCUUUGAUACUGGGAAGCUUGAGUCCGGAAGAGGUGAGUGGAACUGCGAGUGUAGAGGUGAAAUUCGUAGAUAUUCGCAAGAACACCAGUGGCGAAGGCGGCUCACUGGUCCGGUACUGACGCUGAGGUGCGAAAGCGUGGGGAGCGAACAGG